rnacentral:rRNA from 1 species
AUGAACGCUGGCGGCGUGCCUAAUACAUGCAAGUCGAGCGAACAGACGAGGAGCUUGCUCCUCUGACGUUAGCGGCGGACGGGUGAGCAACACGUGGAUAACCUACCUAUAAGACUGGGAUAACUUCGGGAAACCGGAGCUAAUACCGGAUAAUAUAUUGAACCGCAUGGUUCAAUAGUGAAAGACGGUUUUGCUGUCACUUAUAGAUGGAUCCGCGCCGCAUUAGCUAGUUGGUAAGGUAACGGCUUACCAAGGCAACGAUGCGUAGCCGACCUGAGAGGGUGAUCGGCCACACUGGAACUGAGACACGGUCCAGACUCCUACGGGAGGCAGCAGUAGGGAAUCUUCCGCAAUGGGCGAAAGCCUGACGGAGCAACGCCGCGUGAGUGAUGAAGGUCUUCGGAUCGUAAAACUCUGUUAUUAGGGAAGAACAAAUGUGUAAGUAACUAUGCACGUCUUGACGGUACCUAAUCAGAAAGCCACGGCUAACUACGUG